AAUCCUGAUUUUCCCAACUGUGUGUUCUACCCAGAUUCCUGUGAUCAUGGCUUCAAACAAAAGGAUUGAAGGGGAGCUGUUUGAACUGUAAGGCCGGUCUUUAGGGGUGUCAGUACGAAGAGACAGGCCCAACCAGCUCUGAAGAAGCCAAAGUUGAUAAUAUGCAAGCAGUGAAUUCAAUAUCCAUUGAAAAUACAUUUCUGCCUUGACAAGAGAUACUGAGGAUUCAGCUGGAGUCCUCAGGUGCAGUAGGAGAAUGUAGUGGUCUGUGGAGCUCUGAUGCAGGCUGAUUAAUAUGCUGCUAAAUGCUCUUUGGAGUCCAGCCAGGAGAAAUAUAAACAACAAAAUCACUCACUAUGUCCUUUAUUUGGAGAAGAGACUUAGGAAUGGAGAAAGAACAAGAGAAGAUUCUAAGACAGAGAUGCCUGUGAUGUCAGAUGGUUUUCCGGGAGCUUCACCCAAUGCUGCAUUAGCAAGACUACUUGAGCUCAGAAUCUAGACAGUGGAUCACCAUUGCUAUAUGAAGCUGGCUCGUGCCAAUGUGCCUGCCCUCUGUGGCCAGGAGGUGUGGUUUUAAAAGUGACAUGGCCAACCGGCCAAGCCUACCACAGAUUCUUCCAUCACGCUGUAGAUUCUAAUGCCACUUCAACAUUUUCUAAUGCUUUUUUUUUUGUUGAGAAAGCUUGACUAUCUCCAUUGUUUAUGUUUCCCUUUGUUUAUUUGUUUUAUUUUGUUUUUGUUUUUCCAGGUUGGUAAAUAAAUCUGCUAGAUAUACUUCA
rnacentral:lncRNA from 1 species